CCCUUAGAUGUUCUGGGCCGCACGCGCGCUACACUGACGAUGGCAACGAGUUUUUCCUUCGCCGAAAGGUGUGGGUAAUCUUUUGAAACAUCGUCGUGCUGGGGAUAGAUCAUUGCAAUUAUUGAUCUUGAACGAGGAAUUCCUAGUAAACGCGAGUCAUCAGCUCGCAUUGAUUACGUCCCUGCCCUUUGUACACACCGCCCGUCGCACCUACCGAUUGAAUGUUUCGGUGAAGAUUCCGGAUAGGACUUUUUUGAUUUAUUUCAAUUCUGUCUUAAAAGCUAUCUAAACCUCAACAUUUAGAGGAAGGUGAAGUCGUAACA
rnacentral:rRNA from 1 species